GGUGUACGACAUAAUGAUUCCAUAUUUGUAUACACUUCGAAAGGAUCACCACAAAUGGUCAUCACCAAAAGACAAGAGAUAUCAAAUGCUGGCAUGGAUGCAAAGAAAAGGGAACCCUUGUGCACUGCUGGUGGAUUGUAAAUUGGUGCAGCCACUAUAAAAAACAGUACGGAGGAGCCUCAAAAAAUUAAAAAUAGAACUACCAUAUGAUCCAGCAAUUCCAUUUCUGGGAAUAUAUCCAAAGGAAACAAAAACACUAAGUCAAAAAGAUAUCUGCACCCCCAUGUUCAUAGCAGCAUUAUUUAUAAUAGCUGAGGCAUGGAAACAAUCUAAGUGUCCACUAUUAGAUGAAUGGAUAAAGUUGUAGAAUGCAUAUACAAUGGAAUAUUAUUUAGCCAUUAAAAAAAGACAAGGAAACCCUACCAUUUGUGACAACAUGGGUGGACCAUAAAAGAAUUAUGCUUAGUGAAAUAAGUCAGACAGAGGAAGCAAUAUGUUGUAUGAUCUCACUUACAUGUGGAAUAUAAAAACAAACAAAAACAAAAAGAAACUCAUAGAAAAAGUGAUCAAACUUGUUACCAGAGGUGGCGGAGGGGUGGGAGGAGAGGAUAUUGGAAAAGGUGGUUUUAAGGUUUUAAGAUACAUAAGAACUAGAAAUAAAAUGUACAACAUGAUGACUACAGCUAACACUGCUGUGUGAUAAUAAGAAAAGUUGUUAAGAGAGUACAUCCUAAAGAUUCUCAUCAUAAGGACAAUUUUUUCUUGUUUUUUUUUUUUCUUUCUUCUUAUUUUAUCUAUAUGAGAAGAUGGAUGUUGGGUGAACCUCUUGUGGUAAUUGUUUCACAAUAUAUGUAAGUCAAACCACCAUGGUGUACACCCUAAAUUUACAUAGUGAUAUAUACCAAUUAUUUCUCAAUAAGAAGAAAAAAAAUUUAACAAAUUUUUAAAAAUGACAAUCUUCUUAAAAACGAUGAUCAUACUCCUUAUGCACAUGGGUACUCAAACAAUAAAAAUAAUCUUUUAGAACAAAAUUUCUACCUCUGCUAUCUCAGAUGGCAAAGACGCUUCAGUGUUAAAAGUGGUGUAAAGUUGUAAGAGUUAGAACUUUCCAAAAGAAUGAGCAAUAGCCCCCAUCCAUAACCACCUCACAACUCCCAUGCACAACCCUCACCAUAUCUACAUCCAUGUCCACAUGGGCACACUCUAGUCCAGUCUCAAUGUCAUCCCUUUACAAACCAAGUGUUUAGAACAUAAAAAGUUCUUGUUUUCAUUUCUGUCUUUUAAUCUGAACAUAAGAAAAGUCAUUUGUCCAAUAUUUUUGCCAUCACUCAUUACUGUGUCAUGAUGAUUGAUUACUUGGCAUCUUUGGAUCCAUGAAUACUCAAGUUGAUGAAUCAAUAAAGAAAAAAGAAAUUGCA